GUGGGCAGGGGCAGGUAUGUGGUGGGUGGUGGCCUGAGGUGAGCAGGGCCCUCACACCUGCCUCACCCCCCAG
ensembl:miRNA